GCCUUGAUACAUGUGUGGAGGGGAGAGAAU
rnacentral:piRNA from 1 species